rfam:Mycobacterium sp. E796 contig_119, whole genome shotgun sequence.
CCCGAAGAGCACGGGAGUCCUGGCGACCGGGGACUGAGAGUGGGCGCGCACGCCCUUACCGUCACACCUGAUCCGGGUCAUGCCGGCGAAGGGAGCAAAGGAUGCAAGACU